CAGCACCAGAGGGAGAGGAGAUGUUGACAGAUCACAGACCAACAACGCAAACCUGCUACAAACCUACUACAAACCCCGGACUGGAUUUCAUGGAUGGACUGUACUGGAUUUUGAUUCUGUUUGCUGGCGCCCUCUCGGCUCUCCGUCUCUGGGCCACGUUCCAAUUCGGGUUUGAUUCAAGAACGGAGGCCUGAACUGAAUCCCAGCCAUGCUGAAGAAAGUGUUUAACCAAGUUCCUGUCUACCCCGCCCCCUUCCUUGUCUGCGUGCACCUGAUCCCUGAUUGUGUCGACCACACCUGCAUCCUAUCACUCCCUAAUCAAGCACUGCUUAUAUUCCCCUCUGUGUCUUGUCUCGUUGCCAGUUCGUUGUAGUUCAUAGCUCACGUUCCAGCACGCUUUUUCACAGCCAUAGUCUUGCCUUCUUGUGUUUUUGAACCUUG